AGAUAUCUGUGAUGUGCGUCGUGUUCACUUUAGUGUUGAGCUAACAAUUAAUAAUACCUUGGGAGUUAAACAAGAUAUUAUCAAAAACAAGCCUUAUCCUUUGGUAGUUUGCGAUAAUACAAAUAAUUCCCACCUGCAUAUACCGCGGGUUCAACCAUAACGAGCAUAAAACGGCAUCGACGGAUAUUUU
rnacentral:other from 2 species